rnacentral:rRNA from 1 species
UUAAGCGACUAAGCGUACACGGUGGAUGCCUAGGCAGUCAGAGGCGAUGAAGGGCGUGCUAAUCUGCGAAAAGCGUCGGUAAGCUGAUAUGAAGCGUUAUAACCGACGAUACCCGAAUGGGGAAACCCAGUGCAAUACGUUGCACUAUCGUUAGAUGAAUACAUAGUCUAACGAGGCGAACCGGGGGAACUGAAACAUCUAAGUACCCCGAGGAAAAGAAAUCAACCGAGAUUCCCCCAGUAGCGGCGAGCGAACGGGGAGGAGCCCAGAGUCUGAAUCAGUUUGUGUGUUAGUGGAAGCGUCUGGAAAGUCGCACGGUACAGGGUGAUAGUCCCGUACACCAAAAUGCACAGGCUGUGAACUCGAUGAGUAGGGCGGGACACGUGACAUCCUGUCUGAAUAUGGGGGACCAUCCUCCAAGGCUAAAUACUCCUGACUGACCGAUAGUGAACCAGUACCGUGAGGGAAAGGCGAAAAGAACCCCGGCGAGGGGAGUGAAAUAGAACCUGAAACCGUGUACGUACAAGCAGUGGGAGCACCUUCGUGGUGUGACUGCGUACCUUUUGUAUAAUGGGUCAGCGACUUAUAUUUUGUAGCAAGGUUAACCGAAUAGGGGAGCCGUAGGGAAACCGAGUCUUAACUGGGCGUCUAGUUGCAAGGUAUAGACCCGAAACCCGGUGAUCUAGCCAUGGGCAGGUUGAAGGUUGGGUAACACUAACUGGAGGACCGAACCGACUAAUGUUGAAAAAUUAGCGGAUGACUUGUGGCUGGGGGUGAAAGGCCAAUCAAACCGGGAGAUAGCUGGUUCUCCCCGAAAGCUAUUUAGGUAGCGCCUCGUGAACUCAUCUUCGGGGGUAGAGCACUGUUUCGGCUAGGGGGCCAUCCCGGCUUACCAAACCGAUGCAAACUCCGAAUACCGAAGAAUGUUAUCACGGGAGACACACGGCGGGUGCUAACGUCCGUCGUGAAGAGGGAAACAACCCAGACCGCCAGCUAAGGUCCCAAAGUCAUGGUUAAGUGGGAAACGAUGUGGGAAGGCACAGACAGCCAGGAUGUUGGCUUAGAAGCAGCCAUCAUUUAAAGAAAGCGUAAUAGCUCACUGGUCGAGUCGGCCUGCGCGGAAGAUGUAACGGGGCUAAACCAUGCACCGAAGCUGCGGCAGCGACACUUAGGUGUUGUUGGGUAGGGGAGCGUUCUGUAAGCCGUUGAAGGUGACCUGUGAGGGUUGCUGGAGGUAUCAGAAGUGCGAAUGCUGACAUAAGUAACGAUAAUGCGGGUGAAAAACCCGCACGCCGGAAGACCAAGGGUUCCUGUCCAACGUUAAUCGGGGCAGGGUGAGUCGACCCCUAAGGCGAGGCUGAAAAGCGUAGUCGAUGGGAAACAGGUUAAUAUUCCUGUACUUGGUGUUACUGCGAAGGGGGGACGGAGAAGGCUAGGCUGGCCGGGCGACGGUUGUCCCGGUUUAAGCGUGUAGGGGGAGUGACCAGGUAAAUCCGGUUGCUUAUCAACCCUGAGGCGUGAUGACGAUGCACUACGGUGCAGAAGCAGUUGAUGCCAUGCUUCCAGGAAAAGCCUCUAAGCAUCAGGUAACAUUAAAUCGUACCCCAAACCGACACAGGUGGUCAGGUAGAGAAUACUCAGGCGCUUGAGAGAACUCGGGUGAAGGAACUAGGCAAAAUGGUGCCGUAACUUCGGGAGAAGGCACGCUGGCGUUAGGUGAAAGGACUAGCUCCUGGAGCUGAAGCCAGUCGCAGAUACCAGCUGGCUGCAACUGUUUAAUAAAAACACAGCACUGUGCAAACACGAAAGUGGACGUAUACGGUGUGACGCCUGCCCGGUGCUGGAAGGUUAAUUGAUGGGGUCAGCCGCAAGGCGAAGCUCUUGAUCGAAGCCCCAGUAAACGGCGGCCGUAACUAUAACGGUCCUAAGGUAGCGAAAUUCCUUGUCGGGUAAGUUCCGACCUGCACGAAUGGCGUAAUGAUGGCCAGGCUGUCUCCACCCGAGACUCAGUGAAAUUGAACUCGCUGUGAAGAUGCAGUGUACCCGCGGCAAGACGGAAAGACCCCGUGAACCUUUACUAUAGCUUGACACUGAACAUUGAGCCUUGAUGUGUAGGAUAGGUGGGAGGCCUUGAAGUGUGGACGCCAGUCUGCAUGGAGCCAACCUUGAAAUACCACCCUUUAAUGUUUGAUGUUCUAACUCGGCCCCAUAAUCUGGGGUGAGGACAGUGUCUGGUGGGUAGUUUGACUGGGGCGGUCUCCUCCCAAAGAGUAACGGAGGAGCACGAAGGUUAGCUAAUCACGGUCGGACAUCGUGAGGUUAGUGCAAAGGCAUAAGCUAGCUUGACUGCGAGAGUGACGGCUCGAGCAGGUACGAAAGUAGGUCUUAGUGAUCCGGUGGUUCUGAAUGGAAGGGCCAUCGCUCAACGGAUAAAAGGUACUCCGGGGAUAACAGGCUGAUACCGCCCAAGAGUUCAUAUCGACGGCGGUGUUUGGCACCUCGAUGUCGGCUCAUCACAUCCUGGGGCUGAAGUAGGUCCCAAGGGUAUGGCUGUUCGCCAUUUAAAGUGGUACGCGAGCUGGGUUUAGAACGUCGUGAGACAGUUCGGUCCCUAUCUGCCGUGGGCGUUGGAAGAUUGAGAGGGGCUGCUCCUAGUACGAGAGGACCGGAGUGGACGAAUCACUGGUGUUCGGGUUGUCAUGCCAAUGGCAUUGCCCGGUAGCUAAAUUCGGAAGAGAUAACCGCUGAAAGCAUCUAAGCGGGAAACUUGCCUCGAGAUGAGUCUUCCCUGGGGCUUAAAGCCCCCUGAAGGAACGUUAAAGACUAUGACGUUGAUAGGCUGGGUGUGUAAGUGCAGCGAUGUAUUGAGCUAACCAGUACUAAUGAUCCGUGAGGCUUAACCUU